rnacentral:lncRNA from 1 species
GCUGUUUCCGUGCACUCGUUUGAUGUUGGCCCACAGUACAAUAAAAACUCCUAAGUGAUAAGAAUCUAACAAAAACUGCUUUUUUCUGUCUCUAUGAAGUGACUCCUCUCAUCACUCACCGUCAAAUCUCUGCACUUUCUCUCUCUAAAAAUCUUUCGUUCACACCUGUAUGUCUUGCAUGUAGGAGAGAGAAGAUAGAGGAUACAAAUGGUUGGAUAACAAACAAAGCAAAAAGAAACCAAUAGAUCAGAGAUAGAGGUUAUCGGUUUUGUUUUUGGUGUUUCUAUUUUUUUUUUCUUGAUCUGAGGAGCAAACCCUAGAUGAUUUGAAUGAUAUAUUAUAUAAAAAUAUUUGUAAUGUUUUUGUUUGAUGUUUUUCUUAAAUGGGUAUAUAUUAUAGGGUAUGUUUGUUUUCAGAUCUGGG